rnacentral:rRNA from 1 species
AACGAACGCUGGCGGCAGGCUUAACACAUGCAAGUCGAGCGCCCCGCAAGGGGAGCGGCAGACGGGUGAGUAACGCGUGGGAAUCUACCCAUCUCUACGGAAUAACACAUGGAAACGUGUGCUAAUACCGUAUACGUCCUUCGGGAGAAAGAUUUAUCGGAGAUGGAUGAGCCCGCGUUGGAUUAGCUAGUUGGUGGGUAAAGGCCUACCAAGGCGACGAUCCAUAGCUGGUCUGAGAGGAUGAUCAGCCACACUGGGACUGAGUCACGGCCCAGACUCCCACGGGAGGCAGCAGUGGGGAAUAUUGGACAAUGGGCGCAAGCCUGAUCCAGCCAUGCCGCGUGAGUGAUGAAGGCCCUAGGGUUGUAAAGCUCUUUCACCGGUGAAGAUAAUGACGGUAACCGGAGAAGAAGCCCCGGCUAACUUCGUGCCAGCCGCCGCGGUAAGAC